UUUUCACUCUUCACCCUUUAGUAACCUUGUUCUUUCUUUUUCUCUUUCAUAACUUGGGCUGUUUACAGAUCAUGGAGAGUCAAUAGAUGAUAACGAACUGUUUCCUUCAAAACUCAUGUUAUGUAAUCUCAACAUUUCUUCUUGCCCAAAAUGGAAUUUUACUGUAGAUAUUUCUUCAUUCUCAAUCACUAGACUGAUGUUAUUUUUUCCCAGGUAACUUUGUUACCCAAUUUACUUUAACUAUAAGUAAAACUAGCUUAUAAAUGUUCAGAUUAUACAUUAUUACAGUGUUAGUCUUUAGCAUCUUUUCAUGCUGUUUGCAUUCAGCCACUUCAUCAUAUUAGCCUCCUUGCAGAACAGUGAAGGUAGAGGAAAAUUACUAUAGAAAGUGACUGCAUAUAAUUUUCACUUGGGCCUCUUUGCUAAAUUGGGAUUUAGAUAUACACGCUCCAAAUCAUGACAUCAUGGUUCUCCUGUACCCACCCCAUUUUCAUCUGAGAAAAUUAGGCCUCCUUAGUUUUACCUGUCAACUAGUUCUUAGAUUUAUCAGUAUCCUGAUUUAAACAUGCUCAAAACAAGUCCUGUGGGCCCUUUAGUUCAGAUUUCCUAUUCUUGCUCCUACUGCUGCCUGUGUCUCUGGCCCAUGUGGGACUGUCAAGGUGCUGUGCCCAGAGUGGUCACAGUGCUAUAGAGAACAUUGGACUCUUCAUGAGCCUAUACAUCACCACAAAUUUAGGCAUAAGAGUAUCCUUAAUUUCUUUCAUAAAAAAUUAGAACAAGGUUAGUUCCUUUAAUGCACCAACAUUAAAGACUUGUCCAUAGCAGACAGGAAUUACAGUGAAAAAUAACUUAUAAGUCCUACAUAGUCUAAAACUCAUCAUAGGUCUCUUUCCAGGCAACCUGCUGGCCUGGCUCUUAGCAUCUCUCCACCUGGCAAAGGAGAGCUCAGUCGUGCCACAAUCAUGGAAGUGUCUCAGGUCUUUCUGGCCAUCGUGCAGCAUGGGGGUCAAACUAACUCUACACGUUAGAAGGAGGAGGAAGGAGGGUUUUUGUUGUCUUUUUUUCUCCCUUUCUCUCCAGUCUGUGGUCUCUCUCACAAAGCAGGAUUUUAGAUCCUAAAUUUUCACAUUCCACAAAUGCCUGUCCAUUGGAAAGUCUAUUUCCCUUUGAGGAAAGUAUCCCAUCUUUGCCCAGAGGAAUAUUAUCUGUUCCCACAACCUCAAAAGAGGGAAUCAUCAGCAAAGCAUUUCCCAAAUCUGGCUUUUUAACACACCUUAGGUAAACUUGCAUAAGUUAGUCCUCUUCACUCUAAAAAAAGUUUAUACACUUUAUAUAAUAUUUCUUCUGGUAUUAGGUAAAGAAAAAUUCAUUUUAUUUUCACUAUUUUCCAUCCAAGCUCCACAUCUGCAAAGAGUUAUAUGAAGAAGAGCAACCCCCCAAAAUUCACAAGUGCCCUUGGAGAAGACAGCAGUAGCAUUGCUGCAGUGACAAGUUUUCUCAACACUGGUGCUUCAUCAAGUGAACACUACAUCUCACAAAAUCUGGUGGCUUGUGCUUUCAGUAAGGGGCCGAGGAACCAUCUCUUUGAAAUGCAACCAAGAAAGACAGUACCCCCAUCUUCUGGUUUCUCUAAGAAGGAGGCAGUCUGUGUUUCAUGGAAUAACGUAGGAUAGGAAGAAGAAUGGAUGGAAGGAAUGAGAGCCUGAAAGAAGAAAAAGCAGUUAUAAAACGAGCCUAAACCUCAAAAGUAAAAGUUAG
rnacentral:lncRNA from 1 species